GGUCAUACCAUGAUGAAAACAUUGGUUUUACUCUGAUCACCGAAGUUAAGCAUCAUCGGCGUGGUCGUACUUGGAAGGGUGACCACCUGGGAACACAUCGUGC